AAUAGUUAUCUUUUAAUCUCUUAAGCCUAAUUGUAGCUAAUAAGGAUUCAGCUGUUUUGAUUAUGUUUGUUAUUAUAUAAUGGUAAUGAACUGUGCUUACAGCCUAAGAGUCUCCUGGGAAAUAACACCACACCAGUUCUACUGAAACAAGUCAAUCAGAAGCUAUUUUAGUGCUGACGUCCCAGAGAAUUACCAGCAACAUCAACAUGGCGCCCCCUGCUGAAGACUAUUAUUGCCGCCAGUUCCUGCCCAACACCUUUGACCCCUCCCGCUGCAGGUCCUGCCUGCGGCCCAAUCACAUGCACCUCAGUAAAUCGACUGGAGAAUACGCAGAUGCUGCAGCUUUGGACAUUCCACAUGAGCUGGUACGUGCAUUACAGUUGUGAAAUCAGCCUAAUUAGCAUUUUAGCAAACCAAGGUUAGGCAUAAAAAACAAAGAAAUCUCUUGAGGAAAAGUAAGAAAUGAUGACCAUUUAUCAAACCUAAUUACUGUACAGUGUAAAUUUUGGGGGCUAUUCUAAAGCUGUGAGAGAAUUUACCGAGUCCUUCCCUGCUGCAUCACUAUUGGUGUUUUCUUCUCCUACAGUAUGUCAUGAACGUAUUCACACCCCUUCCACAGUUUAUUUUUCUACUACAAAUAUUUUAUGCAUUUUAAUAUGAUUUUAUUUGAUAGAAAACACAAUUUUUUGGAAGGAAAACAGUACAUGGGCUCUCAAUUUUUAUUUUAUGAAUAAAAUUUUCCUCAUGGCAUGAUCCUUAUGCACCACUAUAGUUUAUGCAAUUUAUGUCUUUCUUUCAUCAGUGGCUUUCUACUUGCCACCCUUUCAUAAAGACAAAUUUUCCUAAGAGUUGAAUACAAACGCAUGCCAAACUUUUCAGAUUUUAAAUUUUAAAAAGCAUGUAUCAUUUUCUUUCUAUUUCAAAAUUAUGCAACAGUUUGUAUUAGUCUCUCACUAUAAAUCCCAUUACGUUUCCAACUUUAUUGUAACAAAAUAUGAGCACGUGAAUGCAGAAUGUUAUUUUUGCAAGGUACCAUUAGUUUAAAAUCUGAAUAUGUCUUAGACUUUCUAUUGGCUGGUUUCUCAGAAAUGAACCUGACCUUAGACAGUUCCCUGUGGUUACUACUUAAUGCAUCUUUUAUUAAUUAGUACCGGGUACUUUUCAGUGACGUUACUUUUGUUAUACAUGCACAUGUUCUUUGUAGCUGUGGUUUCUCAGUUCUCUGGGCAGUGGGAGGGCUUCGCUCUAUCUGAAUGUGUGAAAGCUCUUUUCUUCUCUUCUCCUUUUUCUCUUUCUCUUCUCGUAAGUUCUUCUUUCCCUUUAAACGUUUUACCCCAUCUCUCUACCUUUCUUUUAUUUUCCUAUUUCUUCGCCGUCUGCUGUCUAUUGCAUUUGAAAAGCAUUUUCUAAUAAAGUUUUUAUAGAUAUAUCAAGAUACCUGAUGCUGAAAGCCGUUACACUCCACUUGUGAAAAUAAAUCUGCUGGCUUCUCCUUGGCACUCAGACAACAAUUGUGAGUGCCACACUGCCAGACAGACCACAUAAAUAAAAAUCUUCGUGGUUUUGGCUACGCUUAAUAUAUUACUUGGUUCUAUUUGAUAUCAAAUUCUAUUUUAGAAUACAGAUCCAAUUUAGCAAGCAUUUUAAAGUACGGUAGUUUCAAUAUUUUGCUUGCACUCUUUGGCAGGUCCGGUACUUGCCCUUCUGAGGCUUCAAGCUUUGUACAAAAAUAUUUUUGCAGCAUCAAUAUGCUCCUGAGAAAAUAAAACAUAAUGCAUAUACCUUGCUGACAACUGUCAAAACUGCAGUCUCUUAUAGCUGAAGCUUUUGACCAUUCAAAACCAUUACAACUGUUACAAGCUAAACUGUAAGAUGAUUCCAUUGAACCAAACAUUUACUUCCUCUUUAAGAACUUGCACUCAAUGAUCUUGUAAACUUUAUUACAAUCUUGGAGCUUUUUUAGUACUUCUUUAGUUUUUGCUCUAUGUGAUCUUGCUGUUUACUGUAACUCAAGCAUUACAACAUAUUGACAAUGACAACAUAUUGACACCAAACGGUGUCAAUAUGUUCUUUUCUUAAGCAGCGCUAUAUUCAGGUUGUGGCUGAUCAACUUUGCAUAUGGCUAAUUGAAUUUGCUGACAGUUAGCCACAGUGGUUAAACAAAUUGAGCCUGAGAGAGAACUCUGCAUUGGAAUUUUUUUUUAUCAAUGUAUAUCUGAAAAAUGAGUGAAUUGUAAGAGUUCCAUUUUUUACCUAUUUUAAUAUCAUAUUUAGCUGAAUUUUAUUUAUCUUUUUUUUUAAUGUAUGACUUCAGUUUUGAAAUACAUCCACAAUCCAUAGUGUCAAUAUGUUGACUUUGGUGUUAGCUUCUCAGACCUUCUUGUGUUUUAAUAUGAAUUUUUGAAAUCAGAACAUUGUAAGUGGUUGAAGCUUCUCAAAAAAAAAGUAUCUGGCAUUCAUUGUGAUAUGCAAUAAAUGCAUGCACCAUUAGCAUGUUUCAGAGUUAAUAUCAAGUAAAAUAAUAAAGUAAUUUCCAAGGAAGUGUGAGACACAAUGUUCUACCAUUUGUAUUGUAUGAUUAUGCCAGUCAAUAAAGUAAAACCUAAGGUGGAGGUGACAGACAGAUAGCACAUCAAUGUGGCAUUUGAUUCUUUUAUCAUUAAUUAAUGAAAGCUUGCUGCAGUCCUUGGGGAAUGGGUGGAAAUCUGAUAGGCACUGUCACUAACACCCUGCAGUAGCACAACCCCACUGGUUAAAAUAACCUGUAGAGUAGAACAUGCCAAGGAAUCCUAUAGUGACAACAUUUACAUUAAAUUAGGCUUUAUUGUGUUUUUAGAAACAAAAGAGAUUGGGUCUGACAUUCAUACACCUGCAUCCAAUUUGGAGAGAAUCUAAAGGACAAAUAAAGUGUAUUAUCUGUGUUAAUGAUAGGUCAAACUUAUGAUUGGGAUCAAGAAAAAACCAAAAAGCUUCCAAAUGGGUGGCGCUGGUAAUGCAAAGGCACUAGAGCAAUGAAAUAAUGAUGAGCAUGAACACAGACUAGCUUGAGUUACGUCCUGUAGCUAUAGUGAAUGAAGAGGUGAAGGUAGAAGGAGCUGAACAGCAGAAUCUUGACAGCAGAUUUCACAAAAGGAUCUUUCCUGUCACGGUGAGUGAAAGAUUUCUUGAUAGACUUUACUUAAAAUUUCCUACAGAGAUAUGUGUGUUGAGUUUACUUUUAAGGGCUUGUUCUUUGAAGACUCCAGCUUUUUAAUUUAGUCACAUGGCGCAGGAUUCAUGUAAAAUUGACAAAAUAGACAAAUAAAAAUAUCAUUUUUAUUCCUUAUUUUAAAAAAGCUAGUUACAUUACAGCUCAAACUGUUUCAAUCAGGUUAUGUAUCUCACAAUAUUGCUGUAAUCCCAGUCUUUGUUUAAUUUAACCUUUGACUCAAUCAUUUUGCAAGUAAUCCAGAUGCUUAUAUUUAAUAUUUUGUUCCUUUCGUCUACAAACCAGGAUGUAGGUGACACUAAUGAUGAUGAUCAGGAUGAUUAUGAGGAUCUAGUGCUGUCUGAGGUGACAACAUGUGCCAGCAGUGAUGACGCCAGUGGUUGUUGGACGUUUGAGUGGAAUCUUGAACGCAGCCUGAGUCCUGAGUGGGAACUUGAGAAUUGUGAAACUGACAUUCAACCUAGCUAUUCAAAUCAGUGGGAGUGUUCAGAGAGGAGCACAUCCCUCAGCCCACAGAGCCCUCCUGCAGGCCAAACAGAAAUGACCAGACUGGACCUAUCUUCCCCGAGAGACACUGAAAACUCCUGGAUGGAUGAAAGGAGAGGAAGAGACAUGUCCCGCCGGGCUUCAGAGUCCAGAGGAGGCAGGGAGAAAGAAAGUGGCUACUUUUCCCCUGACAGAAGAGGUGACGGUGUGCAGCAGAUGGAUGAGGACAACAAGCGUACCCAUCGCUAUUAUGAGAGGGGACAUCCCCUGCCAAGCAACUAUGUGCUCGAGCCCAAAGCUUGCGUCCCCUACAGGAAUGUCAGCCUUGGACUGCCGUCCCAAAGAAGAAACCCAGAGACCUAUAUGCAGGCAACUUGGAGAAGUGAGUCCCCACAGAGGUACACAUACCACUCAAACUUCAGAAGAGGUACAGACUCCGAGAGGAAUUCUCCAACACGUCAUAGCUCUUUGAGUCCAGAUCGCUACAGGUUACCUGAGUCUGCCAUGGGACCUCAGAGAGGGAGCUCCCUCUGUAGGAGUCAGGCUCGGUCUCGUGCCUCAUUGCAGGGCUCUCUCCAAAUUCAGUCUAAUGGUGCUUCACGCCACACAUCUGGCAGGUCCAGUCCUUUACGCAGAAGGGAUUCCACAGCUCCUCGUAAUGCCUCAGCACACAGACGGGCAGACUCAUUUCCGUUACACAGUGCUGGCUAUGAAGACCUUAAGAUGUCCAGCCAAGAGUCAAGGAGUCCGUCACAAGCUUCAAAUAAACACAGUUUGGAUUCUGAGAAACUCUACAGAAAUCUUGAGUCUAUUUCCCGCCGUAGUUCUUCUGCAGUCAAGCAGAACUCAUACGAAGCGUCUCCUCGAAGCAGAACAGCUGUUAGCAGUCUGGCCAACACUCUGUCCCACAACAGCCGUGAAGUGUCACCAUCCAGGAAUGGCUACAGUCCACAGAGUCACGCCUCAUUAAGAGAGCCCGAUUCAAGAGACAGCAGGAUGAGUAGAUCCCAAAGUUCCUGGCAAGGGUCUUCACACUCUUUACUCAAUCUCCCAUCGUCACAUGGUUCCUCUUCAUUGAGACAGCAAGGGGCAGGCUCCCAGAUUCUAGUUGGGUCGCCCUCAAACAUUGCAGUCACAGACGGUAAUGAUGGGGUUGCUUCUUGGCAGGGGUCUUCACACUCUUUACUCGGCCGCCCCCCAUCACAAGCUUCCUCUUUAUCGAGACAGAGAGCAGACUCUCGGGUCCUUGGAGGAUCACCCUCACAAUUUGCAGUCACAGACUCUGAUAAGGUUAAUGAGGGAUUCGGCUCCUCGCAUGGGUCUUCACCCUCUUUACUCAGUCGCCCGCCAUCACAAGGCUCCAAUUCAUUGAGACAGGCAACGGACCUUCAGAUUGGUGGAUCACCUUUGCAAGCUGUGGCAACAGAUGCUGCAAAUGCUAAUAAUGGUGUAACUAAAGUCAGCUCUGACAGAAGUAAGAGCAUUGUCAGACGAGGAAUGGAUGCCCUGUUGCUCUCCGAACCGGAAAAAGCUGUAGUAGAACCUGAAGAGGUUGGGAUGACCAUAGAUGACUACAUCAUGCUGGCUGAUAUACCAAAGAUUCAGGUGGAGUCAGAAGAAGAAUUUCCAGGGCUGAGACGGAGAAAUGAGAGUCCUAGUCCCUGCAGAGACCAGAGACAAAGAUCAUACAGGUAUCAAGAUGAAACAGACAUGUAUAGUUCAAGGAUAGAGCCAGACGAGAGGAGGAGGGGCAGAGAGAGAGGGAGAGACAGACGAGAAAAAUGUCGGGACCUUGAAACUGGACGAUUGUCUCAGAGACAAUCUGCCAUUUCUCUUCAUACACAGACAUCAGAUCUAAGUGAAAAAAACAGAUCUUUGAGAAAGAAGGACCGAGCGCACCCUGAGCGCUCGCAGACACAGAUGGUGUUUUCUAAAGGGCUGGAUGUCCAGGCUGGAUGAGCAAGGCAAAUGGAUGAAGCACUGGUUUGUUCUUGGUGACACUUCACUGAGGUACUACAGAGACUCGGAGGCUGAGGAGUCAGAUGAUUUGGAUGGAGAGAUUGAUCUGACGUCCUGUGUGAAGGUG